rnacentral:rRNA from 1 species
AACGAACGCUGGCGGCAUGCCUAACACAUGCAAGUCGAACGAGACCUUCGGGUCUAUUGGCGCACGGGUGCGUAACGCGUGGGAACCUGCCCUUAGGUUCGGAAUAACUCCCCGAAAGGGGUGCUAAUACCGGAUAAUGUCUUCGGACCAAAGAUUUAUCGCCUUUGGAUGGGCCCGCGUUGGAUUAGCUAGUUGGUAGGGUAAAAGCCUACCAAGGCGACGAUCCAUAGCUGGUCUGAGAGGAUGAUCAGCCACACUGGGACUGAGACACGGCCCAGACUCCUACGGGAGGCAGCAGUGGGGAAUAUUGGACAAUGGGCGAUAGCCUGAUCCAGCAAUGCCGCGUGAGUGAUGAAGGCCUUAGGGUUGUAAAGCUCUUUUACCCGGGAUGAUAAUGACAGUACCGGGAGAAUAAGCUCCGGCUAACUCCGUG